rnacentral:rRNA from 1 species
AUACGGAAGGUCCGGGCGUUAUCCGGAUUUAUUGGGUUUAAAGGGAGCGCAGGCGGAGAUGCAAGCGUGACGUCAAAUUUCGGGGCUCAACCCCGUCUCGCGUCGCGAACUGCGUCCCUUGGUUGCGGGAAGGGGAGGCGGAACUCGUGGUGUAGCGGUGAAAUGCAUAGAUAUCACGAAGAACUCCGAUCGCGAAGGCAGCCUUCCGGCCCGUCAACGACGCUCAUGCUCGAAGGUGCGGGUAUCAAACAGGAUUAGAUACCCUGGUAGUCCGCACAGUAAACGAUGGACACCCGCGGUUUGGCCUGUAUGGCUGAGCCGCCAAGCGAAAGCGUUAAGUGUCCACCUGGGGAGUACGCCGGCAACGGUGAAACUCAAAUGAAUUGACGGGG